rnacentral:lncRNA from 1 species
UUUCAUUCUCUAUUCAUGUCCCAAACUUCCUUUUUUCUCUCUUCUUUCACAAGUCAAGAGACAAUGGUGAUGGAGAUACACAACCACUCCCAACGACGGUAAAUGAUGGAUUUCGUGCCCAAUAACAAUGAAGACCAGUUUUAAAGGUAAGAUGGUGGUAUUGAUGAUACUCAACAUCCCUAGCCCAACCUCCGGCGAUGGCGGCUAGGGUUCCGAUGAAGAUUCCAGUAAAACAUUUUCACUUGCAUGUUCUCUCUUUGUGUAAAUCGGUAGUGUUAAGGUUAGGAGGUGCGAGAGUGCAAGCUUUUUUGAGUUUUUUAUAGUUCUAAGUGUUCGGACGAAACCCCUGAUCAAUGAGUGUUCCAAGGGGGUAACGUCGUGGGGUCCGGGGCAACACCCCUGAUAGCAGGGUCCAAGGUGCCCUUACUGAGAUCGAGCUGAAAAUUCCUUUUAUUUUCGAGAUGGAAAAUUAGGGCAUUUGGAGGGAAUUUUUUUGUUUAAAAUAAUAACUGCUGUGGUUUUCAUCCCCAAUUCGAAAUCAUCUUUUGUCACAGAUUCUCUGUUCACAAAUUUACAAUCAAACCAUAUAGUAAUUUUUGUUCUCAGUCUAAGUUGUAUUCGAUUAAAUUUUUUCAAAUGAACCACCAAAAUAGUUCGAACUGAAAAAAUGAUUUAAGGCAUCAUCCUUGCAAUCUUAAUUUCCCCAACAUACAACUUUACAUGUUAUCACAAAUUCAAAUCGCAUUUCUCCAUUCAUAUAACUUGAACAUUUAAAAAUAUACUAACAAG